rnacentral:lncRNA from 1 species
AUGGCAUCCCUGGACGCGAAACACUGGCUGCCAGUAACACCUCCCCCUCCCAGUUGUGUUUCCCAGAAGGUCUAUUUCCUUGUGGAAUUGGGGGAUUUAGCAGUCGGUUUCAAGAAAAAGAUCUACAGUGUCAUAUAUCCAAGGUAUGCUUUUUGUGUAAGAAAAUCAGGUCCUAGAAUCCCUACUAUGGAAUUUUGGGGGUAUUUUACCAUGCAACACAGAUACGUUUAUAACACUAGAUAUUUUGAGAUGCCAUUAUCCUUACAAUCAAGCAGUGAUGGGAUUAAGACAGAGGAAGUGUGUAUGUUUGUGUGUGUGUAUGUUGUGCACGUGUGUGGGUUCUGGGUGCACAUGAGUCCUUGUGCGUGCACGUGUUUGGGUUCUGGGUGCAUGUGA